rnacentral:rRNA from 1 species
GCAUGGCAACGGCAAAAGAGAAAGCGAAGAGGCUAGGCUGCCACACCUGCCCCGGCGCCUGCCUGCCGUCCCCCCGUAUCCUAAGCUCGAUUUUAUAUUUUUUUUAUCCGAGCAGCCCUUUGGGACCCCACAUAUCAUGUGCUCUUUCGAUAACAAAUUCCGUCUGCCCGGCCUAAAUUUCGCAGCCACGGGCCACGUGCCGCCUGCCCGCAUUCGCGAAGCGUAUCCACGUAGCCGUCAGGUUCGCGCGCGCCGGCGCGGCCUUUAACCCGGCCGGCACAGCCCAAGCAUCCGAGCCGCACCAUACCAUACUUUGCCCCACCACUUGUGCCACGCCGCGGCCGCCAUUAUUCCAUCCCACUCUCGCCAGCCCUCCCUCACCCGAUGCCGCCGCCGCCGCGCACCCUCGUCGUCCUCCUCCUCGCCGUCAUCGCCGUCUCGGCCCAUGGCCGCCUGCUCGCCUCCGACGGUCUCCCGGGGCAGGGGAGCGCGUCCGACGCCACCGUGCUCCGCCUCCCGUCGGCGGGGCGGCCGGUCGGGGAGGCGGAGGAGGGCGGGUGCGAGAUGACCUACGGCUUCCUGCCCUGCACGGAGACGGCGGGGGGCAACCUCUUCCUCGCGCUCGCCUACGGCUUCCUCAUGUUCAAGUCCGCCACCUACCUCUCCUCCGGCAGCGAGCUGCUGCUCGAGAUCCUCGGCCCGGGGAUCGUCGGCGGCCUCUUCCUCCCCAUCCUCGGCGCGCUGCCGGACGCCUUGCUAAUCCUCGUUUCCGGCCUCUCUGGCACUAAGGAGGUUGCUCAAAGUCAGGUUUUGAUUGGAAUGGGCCUGCUGGCGGGAUCGACGAUCAUGCUUUUAACCAUACUUUGGGGAUCUUGUGUUAUUGUCGGUAAAUGUGAUCUGUCAGAGGAUUCAACUACAAUCGAUUCCCAGGAUACCAAAGCCUUCAGUCUUUUUGGUAUGUUGUUAUUUCUCAAAUUCCAGUUAGGGGGUCCGACCUAACAAAUUGAAUGUCAUUAAAUGCACCUGACAUCCGGACUUCCAGUCUUCCAAACAAAUCGUUGAACAAUAUCACCACCUAAUAGCUUUGUAUAUUUAGUUACAAUGUGAUGCUCCACAUCACUAGACUAGUUUAGAUAGGGGCUCUACUUCAGCUCACACUUCAUGAAACUAUUUUGAGGAAACACUUCUUGAAACUAUGGGCGUUUGUUGGGUCACGCAGUAUAAGAAAUUUUGAUUUCUUUUUACCUCUACAUCACAAACAUGAAUUUUGGACAUGAUAUAUCAGUAUGAUUGCUGGGAAUAGUCAUCUUCUAUAGCAUAAUUAGUUUCCAUGGCUUGCAUCAGUACAUACGUUAUCUAUUAGACCCCUUCUGAUAUUUUGCUAAAUAACAUCUGCGCUGUUAGGCUCUGGUGUUUCCACUGAUUUGCAGACUAGCUAUGCAGCAAGAAUCAUGGCGAUAUCUGUUCUCCCCUUUAUCGUUGUUCAGAUACCGCAAAUUCUGAAGCUCAAAUCUGGUCAUCGCUUAACUCUACUGCUUGGGCUUAUAGUUGCAGUGCUACUUCUGCUUACUUAUUGCCUAUACCAGAUCUUUCAGCCAUGGAUCCAGAGGAGAAAAUUAGAAUAUUCAAAACUGAAGCAUGUAAUGUCUGGGCUUCUGAAACAUGCUCAAAUGCAUACUUUUGGUCACCUUAUCGAUGAUGAUGGCACACCAAAUGUUUCUGUCAUAGAGAAGUUAUUUCACAAAAUUGAUCUGGACAAUGAUGGAAGGAUAGGGCGUGGUGAACUACAAGCUUUCAUCGUUGGUGUGAAUUUUGAAGAUAUUGAGUUGGAUAGUAAUCUAGCUGCAGAUCAAGUCAUGGCUGACUUUGAUAGGUCUCGGAAUAGUUCCAUUGAAAAGGGAGAAUUCGUUGAUGGCGUCCUUAGAUGGCUGGAAGAAGCUAAGCGUGUUGUUGCUGGUUCUGGCGCCUACUCAAAAAAGUUUAUGGAUGAUUUUCACAUUACAACAGGGGAAGAACAUAAUGCACUGCUUGACAAGCAUGAAGAAGAUGAUGAAUCUAUUGAAAAUCCAACCUGGACAUGCUUCAAAGCCAUUUCACUUUUGCUUCUCGGAACUGCAAUGGCAGCUGCAUUUGCAGACCCACUCGUUGAUGCUGUGCACAACUUUUCAAGUGCUACCAGUAUACCAUCUUUCUUCAUUUCCUUCAUUGCGAUGCCCUUGGCUACUAAUUCCAGCGAGGCUGUCUCAGCCAUUAUCUUUGCCAGCCGAAAGAAGCAACGCACUUUGUCUCUAACAUUCUCUGAGGUGUAUGGUGGAGUGACCAUGAACAACACGCUCUGCCUGGCUGUGUUCCUGGCUCUCGUCUACAUCAGGGGCUUAACUUGGGACUUCUCAUCGGAGGUGCUCGUCAUCUUCCUCGUGUGCAUCAUCAUGGGCCUCUUCACCAGCUUCGGGACCAAGUUCCCGCUGUGGACGUGCUUCGUCGCAUUCCUUCUGUACCCACUGUCGCUGAUCUUGGUUUACAUCCUCGACUACAAGUUUGGCUGGUCGUAGACCUAAACCGAAUGGCUGAUUAGUUGAUAGGUCUGAUAUACGGCAUGGAUCACUCCUCUUACUGUUUGUAAACCUCAGUCUGGUACGUGUUUCCGGUUGGAUGCAGACUAUGGAUUUGACAUAUUGCAUACUUGGGGCCGUCACUAAUAAGUGAAGAUGAACUCUGUGAUCAUGAUAUCGCGUGUGUUGCUGCAGGAAUUGGUUGCAGUAUAAUUCAUCGAGAUUUGUCAUACGAAACAUGAAUCUAUUGUAUAGUUGUUAAACAUCUGUUGACAAACUAACAUAACUGAAUGAGAAGUCUUUAUCCAUGCAUGGUUGCAUAUUGAAGGUUUUUUC